rnacentral:rRNA from 1 species
AUACGGAGGGUGCAAGCGUUACUCGGAAUCACUGGGCGUAAAGCGCGCGCAGGCGGGCUGAUAAGUUGGAUGUGAAAGCCUACGGCUCAACCGUAGAACUGCAUCCAAAACUGUCAGUCUAGAGUCUGGGAGGGGAAGAUGGAAUUAGUUGUGUAGGGGUAAAAUCCGUAGAGAUAACUAGGAAUACCAAAAGCGAAGGCGAUCUUCUGGAACAGUACUGACGCUGAGGCGCGAAAGCGUGGGUAGCGAACGGGAUUAGAAACCCUGGUAGUCC